rnacentral:rRNA from 1 species
UACGUAGGGGGCGAGCGUUGUCCGGAUUUAUUGGGCGUAAAGAGCGUGUAGGCGGUUCGGUAAGUCUGUCGUGAAAUCCUGAGGCUCAACCUCGGGCGUGCGAUGGAUACUGCCGGGCUAGAGGGUGGUAGAGGCGAGUGGAAUUCCCGGUGUAGCGGUGAAAUGCGCAGAUAUCGGAAGGAACAUCAGUGGCGAAAGCGACUUCCUGGACCAAUACUGACGCUCAUGUGCGAAAGCGUGGGGAGCAAACAGG